AACCACUUACUCCUCUGCCUUA
rnacentral:miRNA from 10 species